GUCUCUUCAAGCCAAGGCCAUUGAGGAAGGUCGUCUUCCUGAGAGCCAUCGAUAUCUUCAUCGACUUAUAAAUUCCUCGGAGUGCUCCGGCCUGCCUAAUGCGAGUUGAAGCUCUAUCAAAGGGUACUUGGCGGCGGGCGGGCUUGUGCGAGAAUACAAGCCUGUCUUGGCCCGUCCAGCAGGUAUCGCUCGUUGUGGGGGUUCCGCCUCUUGUCGUUCUUGUCAUUCGGGCGAACACACCUUGUCGUGUGUCCUGCAUCGGUAUGACAAUGCGCAGCAGCUUUAUCGAUACCUACCAACACGUUUGACUUUACAGCAAAAUGAAGAGUCGUCGUUGCACCGCGGCAAGUGGGCGCACAUUCCCCUUUUCGCAACGAAUCGAAUUUGUGCCGCUUCCAAACUCGGGGUUCGAACAUUGUGGAGGACCGAGACAAGAGCGGAUCACUGCAAAAAGCGGAGCGACUGACCAAGUGGGUUCGUCCGGCAGCUCAGCCGACGAAUUGGCGGAUUGAGAAUUCCGGCCACCGUUGAGCGCGCAAGUUUGGAGAAGCUCGCUGCCCCCAGCCCAGCCUUCGGAUCCGGCGGCUGCGCAAACUGUUGGGGUUGCACACCACGGGCCUGGGAAUCGACACAUCGCAGAAAGGCCCAGCUGAGCCUUGGGAGUUUUGCAGACAGUCAGACACCAGCCUCGUGGAUGGCUGUUUGUCUAGCAGCCCAAUUACACAUGAAUCUGAUAUCAGCCGUUUUCGGGAAGUAUACACGU